rnacentral:rRNA from 1 species
UCGAACGGAAAGGCCCUGCUUGCAGGGUACUCGAGUGGCGAACGGGUGAGUAACACGUGGGUGAUCUGCCCUGCACUUCGGGAUAAGCUUGGGAAACUGGGUCUAAUACCGGAUAGGAACCAUCUUUAGUGUGGUGGUUGGAAAGUUUUUUCGGUGCAGGAUGAGCUCGCGGCCUAUCAGCUUGUUGGUGGGGUAAUGGCCUACCAAGGCGGCGACGGGUAGCCGGCCUGAGAGGGUGUACGGCCACAUUGGGACUGAGAUACGGCCCAGACUCCUACGGGAGGCAGCAGUGGGGAAUAUUGCACAAUGGGCGCAAGCCUGAUGCAGCGACGCCGCGUGGGGGAUGAAGGCCUUCGGGUUGUAAACUCCUUUCGCUAGGGACGAAGCUUUUUGGUGACGGUACCUAGAUAAGAAGCACCGGCUAACUACGUGCCAGCAGCCGCGGUAAUACGUAGGGUGCGAGCGUUGUCCGGAAUUACUGGGCGUAAAGGGCUCGUAGGUGGUUUGUCGCGUCGUCUGUGAAAUUCUGGGGCUUAACUCCGGGCGUGCAGGCGAUACGGGCAUAACUUGAGUGCUGUAGGGGUAACUGGAAUUCCUGGUGUGGCGGUGAAAUGCGCAGAUAUCAGGAGGAACACCGAUGGCGAAGGCAGGUUACUGG